GACCCCCGAGGCGCUCGCCGAGCCAGGCUCUGGGAUCCCCGAUCCCCUUUCCUCUUCGCCGCAAGCCUUAGAGGUGGGAUGGGGCAGUCGGUAUCAUCGGCUCCAUUUUACAGCAGCAGAAACUGAGUAAAUUAACUCGCCUAGGGUCCUCACUCUGGAAAGUGGCAAAGCCAGGGUUCAAUUCGAGGUCAGGCCCCUAAACUACCUACCGACGCACCCCUCCCUGUCGUCACCUUUACAAGGCUGGAUAGGGAGGCCUGGGAGCAUAAUCUUUCUUCAGUCUGUUUCCCCCCAUCCGUCCAGAUCCUUGCCAGCCGCUGGAGCGAGCACCGGCCAGUCCGCAGUUAGGACAACCACCUGCCCGCGCGGGACCUCAUGGAGUUCAUGACCAGAGCCUUUACCAGCCGUCGGCGGUUUAUAGGAAAUCCUACUCACCUGAUGGACUAUGACACACUCCCAGAGAAGUACUGGCUCACUGACACCGCGAUGGAGGAGCCUAGGACUUACAACAACGCUACAACUGGUUCCUGUUUCCAGUACUGAACAAGGAGAAACCUUCCUGAAAAUGGAGCCUACACCGAAGGAAUAGAGUUGAGAAGUGAAGAUUAAGAAUCAAGUCCUUGUUUGAGCUCUGGAUCAAGCCUCACCUGAAGCCAAACUCAUCCUAGACUGGAUGGCCCGCACUAUGGAACCACUGGCAAAGAAGAUCUUUAAAGGAGUUUUAGUAGCUGAACUUUUCGGCAUUUUUGGAGCAUAUUUUUUGUUUACUAAGAUGAAUACAAGCCAAGAUUUCAGGCAAACGAUGAGCAAGAAAUUCCCUUUCAUCUUGGAAGUUUAUUACAAAUCCAUUGAACAGUCUGGAAUGUAUGGAAUCAGAGAGCAAGAUCAAGAAAAAUGGUUCAACAGCAAGAGUUAGGAAUUUGGCCACUGAUCAAGGUUUACCCUAUUUCAUACUAUCAGGCAAGAUUAAAAUUCCAAAGUUGACAUGGAUGGAUUUUGAAAUAUUUAAGACAAAAUGUAAAUUCUAAUUAUGUCAGAGGUUUUAUACUUUGGACUGACUGUGAAAUUGAUGGAAGCGCAAUUUCAGAACAUUUCCAUCGGCUCCAAAGGGUCCCGGUGCACCCCCACCCCGCCCCUGCCAAGAAGGCUUUGCUUUUUCCGGCUGUUGCCUUUAAACAGGCUCAUACGGUAUGUGGUUUUCUGUAUCUGGCUGCUUUCACUUCGCAUAAUAUUUCUGAGGCUCAUCCAUAUGAUAGCAUGUAUCAGUACUUCACUCCAUUUUACUGCUGAAUAAUAUCCCAUUAUUUGGG